UCCAUCAAGGAAUAUUUGAGCCUCCAUCGUCGUCCACGGCCACUGCUCAACCACCAGUCGCCACCGCCGCCAUCCACUUCCAAUGUGCUUCCACCGCCUGCCGUUGUCCACAUCUAUCACUAUGCCCUCAACGACAUCCAUUCAAUCCAAGGAGAUCACCCUCUGCCCAGACCCGAAGACGACCAGCUGCUGCGGAGCUCUUGAAUCAUGGAUUGGAUAGUGGAGUGAGUGAACCUGCCGGCUACGGGGAGCUCGCCGGACCAGGUAGAAGAUGAUGAAAUUGAAGUGUUGUCAAGUUUCUCCGAGGUGUUUGUUUUUCCGAUGGUUAAAGUGUAGUACAAAGUGUGCAAAUAAAAUCAAUGUUUUCAACUCAUUCAUUAAGUAUCCAUGACUACAAAUUAUUAGGACUUGAUCUAGCCUGAGAUAGCCAAGGAUCGAUUCAUUUUUUUUCUUUUCAAGCUGUGCUAAUGUAUGUAUGUUCAGAAUUACAUACCAUUUGGGUUCACAUGUUCAGAAUUAUCUAAUCUAUGUGUCACUAGAGUAACAGGACUGACAUUCAUUUAUCACUUCUCCUGUAGUAUAUUUGCUGUAAAUAUAUGAAACUUGACACAAAUCUCACAUCUUAAUAGCUCAAAAUAUAUGUAACAGUACUCAAAUAAACUUUUCCUGGAGUUUUCUAUUGUGCUUUAUGUAUUAUAGUUUUCAGAUAUUCAGAACCUAUUUUAUACUGUUCAUUACUGAUAAUAUGGGAAGCAUUGGUAAGAUGUACAGGAAUGAUGAUUGUAGAUAUACAGACGGUACAACAAAUUUGUCUAUUACCAAUAACAUGCAAUUUGAUGAUUUUGUGCAGUCCUUGAUUAAUGACAUCUUGAAGUACAUGAACAGUUAGUACUCCACUAGACCUUGAAUUAUGUCUCCUCUUUUAUGGAUAUACUUUCUUUCAUUUUAGGUAAGUAUCAUUUUAUUUAGAGUUUGAUUUGGAAAAAUUGGAGUAAUAACUCUUCCUGAUUAGAGCUAAAUUUUGUACAAAAUCUUUGAGUAGCAGAAUUGUUCUGACCUAAAAUGGAGUCCUAACAUGAUAUCAGUGAGAGUUACAAAUUGUUUGUAAUGUCUGAGUACGAGGACCGUUCUAAUUUGGCAACUUUAAUCAGGCAGUGUGAAUUAUGCAUUUCUUGUGUUCAUGAACAAUAUUUGUUUGAGAAGUGAAAGAUCGGAGGUAUGUUUUGUCGUGGUGGAUGAACAGAAAGCCCGGUGAGGAUGGCAAACAUGGAGUGAAGAGGGUAUGGUGUAUGCUGUGGCCCGAAGAAGGGCCUCCUAUGAUGGAAAUUGUGAGCAAGGCUGGCCCUCGAAUCCUUUUUUUUCCCCUGAUGAAUAUGUAAUUUCGAUAUGCUGUUGGAAUCGGUUGAAAUCUAUUUGUAACUCCACUGUCUCAUUUCCGCAUCAUAUAUGUAUCCAUUGCUGAAAGAGGUGUAAAGAGGUAAAUAGAUAGCGUGUACCCGAGCGGACUAUGCAUCAUUGGAUUGUAUCUAUGUUUCUGAUGGUCUUGUGGGUUUGAGGCCUUGAGCUUGAGAAUGUAUUUUUUUUCUUUA